GUCAGGUGGUCAGGUGGCCCCGCCAAACCUAGCUUGCUGGCGUCACAUUUAAAUAAGUUCUCUGCGACAUGGAGUUUACCCCCAACGUUAUAGAGGCCACGUACAGGAGAAGGCAAUGACUCAGCUUGGGAGUGCUCAUCCCUGUUAGCCCAUUUAUACCAGCCGUUCCUGAUGGAGAUACUAUUCCCGAGGCUGUCAACCUUCACAGUGCUUAUUUAAAGGGGCAGAUCCUUGCCUGGCCGGGUUAUUGUGCAAAAAUUGAUUUUCCUAAAACCCUGUGUGCCAGAAGACAUUAGUCAGCGUUGUCUGGGAGCCGGUGCGGUACAUGAGAAAGGGAACCGCAUGUUACAGAAGAAGAGGCACCCAACUGCAAGCAAGAUGGAUGACAAGGGCCUCGCCAUACCUCAACUCAAUGCUGGAUCUCCAAAGAGGAAGUUUCUUUUUUCAAAAAAAGACAGAAGACACAGAAGAAGAAGAUCAUUUGAGGAGAGCGGGAGAUCGUGACAAGCCUGACAAGGAGCACCUAAUCCCCGCGGAACCUCGUGGCACACUAUUCACCCCUGAAAAUCUCACUCUGUUCAGCCAGUAGGAGUCGUGAAUGCAGUUGAGAGGGUGCGAUCCCUCACUAAAUUCACACCUGAGCACGCUGCCAGUCUGGCCAAGUCGGAAGGAAUUCGUCUGGGGACUGAACCAGAGUACCUG